rnacentral:rRNA from 1 species
CCCUUAGAUGUUCUGGGCCGCACGCGUGCUACACUGAACGGUUCAAUGGGUAAGGUAGUGCGAAAGCAUGACCUAAUCUCGAAAUCCGUUCGUGCUGGGGAUAGAAGCUUGCAAUUAUCCUUCUUGAACGAGGAAUACCUUGUAAGCGUGAGUCAUCAUCUCACGCUGAAUACGUCCCUGCCCUUUGUACACACCGCCCGUCGCUCCUACCGAUUGAGUGUUCCGGUGAGGCUUUGGGAGAAUGGCCUCAACAUGAGUUUACCGUGUUUUGCCGUUUGAACUUAGUCAAACCUUAUCACUUAGAGGAAGGAGAAGUCGUAACA